CUUGGAUGUCGGACACGAAAUCAAAAGAGAUUAUUUUGGAGCUUUAAGUUUUAAUGACUGCCUUGCUGGGAUUCAAACUUGCUUGGGGCCUGUAUCUUCUUUCUUUUGGUCAAUUUCUCCCUUUUUGAACAGGAAUGCUUACCCAAUUCCUAUACCUCCAUUGUAUCUUGGAAGUAAAUAACCUGUUUUUUAUUUUACAGGAUCAUAGAUGGAAGGGACUUGCCUUGUCUCAGACAGGACUUGGGACUUUUGAGUCAAUGCUGGAAACAGUUAAGAAUUUAGGGGACUGUUGGGAAGGCAUGAUACCAUUUUGAAAUGUCAAAAGGGCAUGAGAUUUGCGAGGGCCAGAGCAGAAUGAUGUACUUUUCAGAAUGAUAUCCCCCAAAUAUCAUGUUGAAUUGUAAUCCCCAAUGCUGUGGUGAGGUCUUGUGGGAGGUGUUUGGAUCAUGGAGGCAGAUCUCUCAUGACUUGGUACUUACUUCAUGAUAGUGAGUUCUCAUGGGAUCUAGUCCUUCAAAAGUGUGUGGCACCUCCUCUGCUCACUCUCUUUCUUGCUCCUGCUUUUACCAUGUGACGUGCCAGCUCUCCCUUUACCUUCCGCCAUGUUUGGAAGCUUCCUGAGGCCUUCCCAGAAGCAGAUGCCAGUAUGCUGCCUGUACAACCUGCAGAACUGGAAAAUGAAAGCAGUCAAAAGAGAAUUUCCUGAUGCUCCCACCAUCAAAUCCAUCAGCAUGCCUGCAUCUGAAAUCACAUUCUUUGCUUUCCUUCCUUUGAGAGUGGCUGGUCUGUCAGUAAUUCUAGCAAAGACCACACCACAUCCUAACCUCUUACCAGAGAGCAUUUUCCUGAAAAUGACCAUUUCUGCAUUCCCCCUUAUGUUUUCCCCUAUACUGAAUCAUUCCGGUUAUCAUUUGUUUCAAAUGAAGAAUUAUAAUUCAAGUAUUUCUUUUAGUGCAAUGAGUGAGAGAUAAAGAUUACAUUUAACAUUAAGAUUGGUUCAGAACAUAAAAGUUCUUUUUGCACCGUGUUGGAAACUAUUGAAGUACUAUCUUCACAGCGUAACCCUCCGUACAUGCACUUCAUUGCUCCUCAAUUUUUCUGCCUUUCUCCAACACAAUACCUGAUACUUCCCUACUUUCUAUUCUCUUGUAUCCUUAUUUUUUCCUAAUUGAGAGAGAACAGUGAUGAUAAUUAAACAAUUGAGUGGAAACCAAUUCCUGCGAUAGUGCUAGAUGCUUAAUAGGUAACAUCUUCUGCUCGAGUUACUGAGACUUCACCUACUUUGAAGCUACUGAUCUCAAAGAAGCUUAAGGAAUAAUUAUGGAGGAGAUAAUUUUAGGUAAAUUUGAAUUUAUAAGGAAAUGUUGUCCAGGAAAAUUAUAGGGUCCAUUUUUUACCAGGCUUGAGACAUAUUUGGUACAGAGAAUAUUAGGGAGUGGUUAGUCAGAAUGGCUGCUUUGGAAAAUGAAUUUAACUGUAAGAAGUCUGUUGAGUACAUAUAACAGUGGAAUAAAAUGGUGGUGGAGGUGAAAGAUCAGUUCAUAUGAUACAUUUUGACUUCAAAUUUCUAGUCUCUGAGGAUUAAGAAGGUACCAGUGAAGAAAGGUUUGAUUUUCAAAGAGAAGCAGCCAAUGUCCCAUGACACCAUUAAUAAAAUAGAUAACACUUUAGAGUGUGCAAAGUUCAUUUAUUUUGAUUAUCUAAUUCAAAAGUGACACAACCUUAUGAGGUAGCAAUUGCUAUACUUUAAUAAGGAAUGGAAACUAAGAGAAAUUAAGUAAGAUUUACCUUGGAUUUCCAAGGUAAUCCAAUAAGUGAGUCAAACCCAGGCUAUAGGUAAAGAAAUUGGCCACUCAGUACUACAAUAUGUAUGUUCACCAUUGUAGAGUGCGGCUGUCUUUUGAAAAAUGGCCCUUAGUGAAACAUGCUGUCCAGUAUUCACUUUUUUGUAUAGUUUUUAACCAAAAUAAAUGAGGGCUUGCCCUGUGUAAAUGAUAGAAUGUGGCGUGUUUCUUUUUCUCUAGGAAUGUGUAGUCUGUAGGAAGCCAACUUUUUGAACAUGAAGUUCAAGCACUCUGAGGACUCUAAGUUUGAGGAAGCCCAAGAUAGCCAUAUGGAGAGUCCACAAAAAGAAAAAGAGCUAUAGUGUCUGCUCUUUUAGCAAUCCCACCUGAGGUGUCAGACAUGUGAAUGAAGAUACUUUCUUGGUUGUCCAGUCUAGUUGAACUUUCAGAUGACUCUAGAUUUUGCUACUAUCUGACCGACACUCCAGGAGAUAUCUCAAGGGAGAAAUAACCAGUUGAGCUCAGUCAACACAAAUUACCAUAAAUAAUUAUUUUGGUUUCCAAGUUUGGGGGUGACUUUUUGUGUAGCAUUAGAUAAACAAAACCCUGCUUAUCUCCAAAGUUGGGGAAGGGGAGAAAUAAAAGAAUCACAUAAGGUAAAUAAGGGGCAUUGUUUUGCAAACUUUGAAAAAUACUAUAUACAAUGCAUGGAUGUAGUGAAAUACAUAGAGACUCAGAAGUCAUAAGCCCUGAGUUUGAAACCUCUUGAGAUUUUCUCACUCUGUGACUCUUGGAUAAAUCACACUCAAUUUCUCCUAGUCUAAAUGUGAUUAUCAAUAAAAUUAUGUUAAUAAAGCCUUGCUCUGUUUAGAGUCUUAGGUGAGAAAAUGUGGUUUGUAAAUGAUUUUGUGAAUUUUAUAAAAUUAUACAGAUAUAUUUCGUAUUGCUAUUAUUAUAAUUAAAAAUACAGAGUCAGGAUAAUUUCAUCCUGUGCACAAGAGGCAGA
rnacentral:lncRNA from 10 species